rnacentral:lncRNA from 1 species
AGAAAACAACCCAAAAACCUCCCUCCAAGCCCACCAUCACUACCCAUAAUUGGCCACCUUCACCUCCUAAAACCCCCAUCCAUCGUUUGUACCAUAGCCUUUCACAAAAAUAUGGUCCAAUCUUCUCCCUUCGCCUCGGUUCUCGGCUUCUUGUUGUAGUAUCAUCUUCAACCGCAGCCGAGGAAUGCUUCAGCAAGAACGAUAUAGUUUUUGCCAAUCGCCCCAAGUUUAUCAUAGGGAAACACUUAGGCUACAACUAUACCACAGUUUCAACAUCGUCUUAUGGUGAUCAUUGGCGCAACUUACGUAGAAUUGGUGCCAUUGAAAUCUUCUCAUCAAGUCGUCUAAACGCCUCCGUGACUGUUCGAAAAGACGAAAUCAGGCGCUUGUUAUUAAAACUGUCGUGUGAUUCGCGUCAAGAGUUUGCGAAAGUGGAGCUGAAAUCUAUCCUUAAUGACAUGACCUUUAAUAACAUAAUGAGGAUGGUGGCAGGGAAGCGGUACUAUGGAGAUGAAGUGACGAAUGAAGAAGAAGCAAGAGAAUUUAAGGAACUUAUGGCAGAGGCAUUCAAGAAUGGUGGAACAGCAAAUCAAGAAGAUUACUUUUCUGUAUUGAACUGGUUUGGUGAAGGGUAUGAAAAGAAGGUGAAGAAGCUUGGAAAAAGGAUGGACAGGUUCUUGCAAACUUUGAUUGACAAUCACCGAAGUAAGAGGCAGGAAAAUAAUAGUAUGAUUGAUCACCUUCUUUCCUUGCAAGAAUCUGAGCCUCGUUACUAUACUGACGAAAUUAUCAAAGGGUUCAUAUUGGUAAUUAGUUGAAUCUUUUCUUUUUUCUUUUUACUUUUCAAUAUUUUAUUGUUGAAAGAUUUUCGGUUUUAAAUUUUGAGCUUAACUUAAUUGAUUCAUGCACUUAUUUUUAGAAGAUGACAUUCAAAUCUGAAAUGUCCUAAACUAACAAAUUAACAUUGUUCUGUAGGUGAUAAUACUUGCAGGAACAGAUACAUCAGCAGUCACAAUAGAAUGGGCAAUGUCCAAUUUGCUAAAUCACCCAGAAGUAUUGAAGAAGGCUAGAGCUGAACUAGACAAUCAAAUUGGUCAAGACAACCUGAUUGAUGAACAAGAUGUUUCCAAGCUACAUUACCUUCAAAGUAUUAUAUUGGAGACACUUCGAUUAUACCCUGCAGCUCCUCUUCUGCUUCCGCACAUGCCAUCGAAUGAUUGUACCUUAGGUGGAUACAACGUGCCACGUGGUGCCAUCGUACUGGUGAACGCUUGGGCCAUUCAUAGGGAUUCAAACCUAUGGGAUGAUCCAACAAGUUUUAAGCCAGAGAGAUUUGAAAAUGGUGGGAAAUUAGGAGAAUAUUCUCACAAGCUAAUGCCAUUUGGGUUAGGAAGGAGAGCAUGUCCAGGAGCAAGCCUGGCUCAGCGAAUAGUGGGAUUAACUUUAGGAUCUUUGAUUCAGUGCUUUGAGUGGGAAAGGAUUGAUGACAAGGAAAUUGACAUGACUGAAGGAAAGGGAAUCACCAUGCCUAAAGUUCAGCCAUUAGUUGCUUUGUGCCAAGCUCGUCCCAUCGUGAAUAAGGUUUUUUAUAAAUAAAUUUGAUUAAUAUCAUAAGUUGGGUGAUUAUAGUGGAAAAAUAGGUUUUGAUUGCCUAUCUGGUCAAGAUUUUAUUGGAGUAGGACACAGUUAGUGUGUUCUAUUUUUUUUUCUUUUGUUUUAAUGAUUGGAUUAGUCCAUAUCAAAAAAAGGAGGUCAAAUUAUGUAAUAAAUAUCUGUAUUUUAAUUAAAUAAUAAAAUUAAUCCUUUUAUCUUAAUGUGUUUAAAUUGGAUCUUUAUACUUUCUUUAAUUAUCGAAAUUUUGUUAACGGUUCAAACUUUUUCAAUUAAAAUUGAUGACAUGGUAUUUUGACUUUUCUAACGUGACAUUUUUGUUUAUAUGAUCGUUGACUUUAUUGACUUUUGAGGUCAAAAUGAUCAAAGAUAAUAACAUGACAAAAUUUUUUAAUACAUCAUUAUUUUUUCACUUCAGCUUUUCUCAAAUUGUACAGAUAAUCCUUAUACUUUUAUUAAAUGAUAGAAUUAAUCCUUCUAUCUUAAUGUGUGUUCAAUCUUAUCUUUUUAUAUCAAUUAAUUAUUAAAUUUAAGAUUUGACACUCAUUGCAUUCAAAUUUUAUUCUUAAAUUAUUUAUAAUCAAUGCUUUACAAGAUGGAACAUUGAUAAUAGAAAAUCUAAGUUCAACUUGAUUCUAAUGAAUUUUGAAACUUCAAAGACAUAAUUAAAAGAGCUUAAUACUCAAAACAUAUCUUUUAAUGAAGACAAGAAUAUCUUACUUAGAAUAAGACUAGCCAAAAGCUCCCUCCAUAAGUUAAAAGACUUAACAAAGUCUAGGUGAAAGACAACACAUAAAGGACCCCAUGAAUAUAAAUCAUGCUUGACUAAAACAAACCAUCCGAUGCAUUGAGAGCCUUCAAUCUAAUCUAGACUCCCAAAUGAACUCAAAGUUCUUUACUUCCUAAGAUGUCAACAUCUUUGAAAGUGACUUGUUUUUUGGAACAACUUAACUUAUAAAUCUCAAUUUUUAUAUGACACCAUUUGAGAAUAAGGAUGGUUAAAAGAAUCAAUUUUAAGCUUUUUGUAUGGUUGACUAUUAUUAUUAUAUACAUCAACAUUAGAGUUUUUAAAUUCUAUAAAAUGAAUCCUCUUGUUUAUUUAUUAAUUUUUAAGAAAAAUUAUCAAAUAUAUUAAGAAAAUGAAAAUUUUUAAUAUUACAAAUUAAAUAUAUAUUUAGAAUAUAUUUUAAAAAAUUAAAAAAUUAAUUUUAAAAAAAGUGAGACAUGCACGAUCUUAUUAACUUCAUUUAUAAAAUUAAAAAAUUUCCUUAACAAUAGAUUAAACAAUUUUUUUAAAAAAUACAAUUUAACUAGAUAUCAAUCCAUGUUUCACUUUGAAUAUCUAUUUUUGUGUAUGUAAUUAAGAAAAUCAGCAUAAAUUGGUGUUUUGAAUAGUUAUCAUAACGAUUUUGGAGUAGCUUGAUGAAUUUGAAAAUGAAAUAAAAAAAAAAAAGAGUCACCACCAAUAUUUUUUGGCUAGGUGAAAUUGACUACCUAUUAAAACAUAUUCUUUUAAUAAAAUUUUAAAAUUAAUUAAAAUUUAUUAAAAAAAUAAUUUUAAUGUAUGCAAAACAGGUUGGGUCAAGGAGUUAGUUACUUGUAGGAAAAAAUUAGCACCCCUACAGCUCCCGUUUAAAACGGUACCAAUUAAUUAAAUAUUAUCCUUUAAUUCUGACAAAAACAAUUUUAUAUUUAUUUAUUUAUUAUUAUUAUUAUCAUUGUUCUGUUUUAUUUGAGAAAAAUAAAUUAAAACUUUUUUAUUGAAAUAAUUUUUAAAAUGUUUCAGUACAUUGAAAAUAUUAGAAGAACUUUCUCACCUAAAGAUUUCUUAAGUAUCGUUCUCAAAAUACCUUAAAAUCUCAUCUUUAGAGGUCCAGAUUUAUUUUUCAAAAACACUAUUAUACAUGCAAUACAAAUGAUAAUACAUUGAUUUACACAUUUUAUUUUCCUUUUAGAAAAUUUAUUUUUUAUAUUAUAAUUGUUAUUGUUUGAAGAAAUUUUUAUCACAUUAAAAAAUUUUUAUAAAUACUUCAAUAUACUAGCAAUAUUUCAAAAAAAUUUCCUCACCUAUAGAGUUUUAAAGCAUCACUACUUGGAAUAUCUUAAAAUCCUAUCAUCAGGUAAAGAUUUCUUUUCCCUUAUUUUUUAUUAUUUUAUUUUUAACAAAUUAGUUAAUUUUUAUUUACUAUUUUAUAGCAAAAAAAAAAGAGAAAAUUUUUUAUUGUUUGGAAACUUUUUAUAAAUACUUCAAUGUUGGUAUAUUAAAGAAAAUUCCUCUAGGGAUCUAGUACUGGACUUUGAUUAUGUUGUAUUUCAAUUUUUUCAUUUUCUAUUUUUAUUAUUUUUAUUAUUUUUUCAGUAAUUUUUUGGUUAUUUUUUCCUAUUUUUGGUUAUUUUUCCUAUUUUUUUAAUCUUAAAAAUUAUCAAAGUUUAGAAACCUUUUUUAUUAUAUUGGUAUCAUACUAUCAAUUAUUAAUUAUUAUUUUUUAUUAAGAUUAUUCUACAGUUUAAUAAAAAUUAUAAAAAUUUUAAACUAUAUUUUCCAUUUUUUAUUUAAUUUAUCUAUUUUAUUUUGUUUUCAUUUUUCCUAGUUAAAAAAAAUUAGUUAACAAAUUUAAACAUUUUCACAUGCAUAAAUAUUAAUGCUAAAAUUUAUAUAAACAAAAAUAAUAUAAAAAAUAAAUCAAAAAAUGAAAAAAAUUAAACCGGACCGAUCAACGGUUUGGUCUGUAUCAGUUUAGCUAGACUGAUUGGUAGUCAAAAAGGGAAAACUGGGUCACGAGUCAAGCACGCAGAUCUCUGAUCAACCCAUUGGUAUGCACAUAGAUCUUGGAUGAAACGAUGUUGUUUUAAGGCUUAGUCUUCUAUAUAAAAACCAAAAUUUUUUUGUUUUGCCAUCGAUCACCAUUUUCGGUGGUCGAAAAACAAAGGAAAUAUCAAAAGACUCCCCUUUACCCUUUAAGCUCAGAUUUGGUCUCCUUUUUGCCAAGAACAACCUUGAUCAACAUUGAAUAGGCUUUAAAGCUUUAGUUUCCCUCUUUUUUAUAUUUUCAUUAAUUUUAAUUUAUUAUUAUUUUUUAUUUUUUAAUGAUACUAACUUUUCUCUUUUCCUUUAGGCACAUCGCACAGAGCUAAGUUCCCCAAUAGGGGAUUUUUAGAGGCAUGUUGUAUAGGUCCAAAGGGAUUUGGGCAUGGAAGGCAGUGGGUUGCACAAGGGCGUAGGAAUAAGUGGCUAGUGGUGCCGUGCACGGCACCUACUAGCAUUAGCCUCCAGUCUUUUGUUCUUUUGCCUUUUUUUAAUAUUUUUGUAUUAAUGUUUAAUUAAUUAUUAUUUAUUAUAUUUUGAUAUAAAUAAUAAAAUUAAAAUUAAAAAUUAAACAGUGGGCCAAGGCUUAGAAAAAAUUGGGUUUUAGCCUAUUAACUCGUUAGAAUUAAGAAAUUUAAAUUGAAACCUAGAUAAAUUUGAUGUUUACAAUUGCAUCUCUUUAUGCAUUGCUGAGAAUCAGAAAUAGGGUAAAAACAAAGACAACAAUUUUGUCUGGAGUCCAAAGUGAUUUUUUUUUCUAAUUGAUCUAAACUAAUUAAAAAGUUUAUCUCAUUAAAGACCAAAACGCUUUAAAGAUCAAAUCGAAAUACUCCUCUUACUCGAGGCUCGACAACUUUUGAAAACUUAAAAUGGCACCUCUAAGUAAAGACUCAAUAACUUUAAAAUUGACAUCUGAAAAAAAGUUCCUCUGAAUAGAGGCUUAACAACUUAAAAAAGUUCAUCAUCUUUUCUCAAAAUCGAGUUCUUAUCUUUGAGCAAGUAAAUUUUUUUCUUUUAAAAUCUCUUCUUUAAUUAUUAUCUUUGCCUAAUGAUCAAAAUCUUGUUUUCCAUUAUGAAAUUGAAAGUCCUUGUCCUUGUUAUAACUACUCAUUGAUGCAUGUGUUGAAUGCUCUAAAUGCAAUGCAUGUAAUGCAAUCAAAAUCAUUCAUUUGUGGUAAAAGGCUCUCGAAAUCUCUUACCUUUUUAUUUAUUUUAUCAAAAUUCUAAAACAAUUGCCAUAGGACCAAUUUGUUCUUAAUGUCUGACCAUUAUAUUCUUUCUUAACAAUAUUUUUCUUUUUCAAAACUCUACAACAUCAAUGUCUUGUCAUGCUUUUCUUGUCAUUUUUCAUCUGUUUUUAUUGACUUCUAAAAGUAAUGCCCGAGACAUUCCAUGUUAUUUUUUUUUAUCAUUUCAAGUUCAAGAUAAAUAAAAUACAAUCACACAUUCCUCUAAUUCAUUUGUAAGGUGAACAAAUAUGACGAAUUGAGAUAAAAGGAUGGAUAGGCAUUAUUCCCAAAGAAAAGAAAACAUAUUUCAUUAAACUGAUAAUAAGUGCAUGGCAACAAAAGUGUUUAGGUAGAAACAAAUGUACCUAAGUAAUGAUUACAAGAUAAUCAUGAAUAAAAUAUUCCUAGUUUCUUUCUCCAAAACUUAACCAAAUGACUUCCUUAAUUCUUUAGAAUUCGUUAAACUAUAUUUGCUUUUGUGUUGUGAGGUCAUUUCUUAAUGAUACUUCUCUUUUACAUCCAAGUCACAUUUUCAAGUUUUUAACUUAAAUGCCAUUCUUUUUCUUGCUUUUUUCUUCUUUUUUUCUUUUUCAAACGAAGUAUCUUUUCAUAGUAUCUGAGUUUAUCAGAGUAGGCAAACCAUUUUUGUCCAUUUCUACCAAAAUUAAUGCCCUAUCGAAAAAGACUUUUUUCACCACAUACAGAUCUUCUUAAUUUGGUGUCUAUUUUUUUUUACUAUCAUGUUGAUUUAGAAGGAUCCUUUUCAACACUAAGUCUCCUUCUUAAAAGCUACGAAGGUGAAUUUUCUUAUUAUGUGCUCUCAUUAUCCUCAUUUGAUACAAUUGACCAUGGUAAAGUAUUGUAAGCCUUUUUUCAUCAAUGAAGUUCAACUGCUCAUAGCGAUUUUGGACCCAUUUUACUUUUUUUAACUUGACUUCCAUCAGAACUCUCAAUGAUAGAAUUUUUACUUCAACUGACAACACAACUUCUAUCUCAUAAACCAAAGAGAAUGAUGUGGUCCCAGUAAAUGCUCAAACUAAUGUUCUACAAGUAUGCAAGGCAAAAGGUAACUUCUCAUACUAGUCUUUAUAAGUAUCAGUCAUUUUUUCCAAGAUCUUUUUUAUAUUCUUGUUUAUAGCUUCUACUGUCCUAUUCAUUUUUAGACGAUACGGUGUCAAAUUAUAAUAAUGGAUCUUGAACUAAGUGCAUACUUCAUUUAUUAUUUUACUGUUCAAGUUUUUAGCAUUAUUAAAAAUAAUCAUCUCUAAAAGCCUAUAUUUGCAUAUUAUUUUUUUUUUAUGAAAUUAGAUACCACCGAUUGUGUCACACUAGCAUACGAUACAACUUUUACCUAUUUCGUAAAAUAAUCAAUCAUCACAAAGAUGAAUCUAUGUUUAUUUGAAGCUUUUAGAGUGAUAGGAUCGAUGACAUCCAUGCCUCACAUAGAUAUUGGCCAUGGAAGAGCCAAAACAUGCAAUGUUAUUGAAGAAGUAUGAAUUUUAUCAGCAACAAUCUGACACUUCUGACAUUUUUUUGCAUAAUCAAUAUAGUCACUCUCUAUUGUCAACCAAUAAUAGCUAGUCCUCAUAAUUUGUCUAGCCAUCAUAUGACCACCAUUAUAUGCCUCACAAACCCCGUCAUGUACUUUUUAAUAAUCUUUUUUGCUUCAAUUGUAUUCACAUACCUUAAGAGCACUUGAUCUCAAUUUCUUUUAUAAAAGAUAUCUCUAUCAAGGAAGAACCCAUAGCCAGCCUUUUGAUAGUCUUUUUAUCAUUUUCUGUUGCAUGUUCUAAAUAUUGUUGACUUUUAAUGUAUUGCAUAAUGUCAUGAUACCAUGGCUUCCCAUUAAUUUUUUUCGACACCUGAGCAAUGUGCUAGUGUAUCCUUCACAUCCAAUUUGAUGGGUUGAAUCUUGGUAUUUGUAUCUAUUCUGAUCAUUGUAUCCAAAGUAGCCAUUGUAUUAGUAAUCUGGUUCUCCUCUCUAGGCACAUGCUCAAAAUAAACUUCUUCAAAUUUUUGGACAAACUUAGAAACGUAUCAAUGGUACCUGAUUAAUUUGAAAUCUUUUAUUUCUUAUUCACCUCAUAACUAAUAGAUGACUAAAGUUGAAUCUCCAAACACACCCAAUACUUUGAUCUUCUUUUCAAUUACUACUUAUAGACCUCUAUCACAAGCCUCGUAUUCAACCACAAUGUAUGUGCAAUUGAAAUUCAAUCUGGCCAUGAUGGGAUAAUAGUGUCUAUUGAGAGAUAUUAAAAUUGCCCUAAUAUUAUGGCCUAAAGCAUUAGUAGCUCCAUCAAAAUAUAUUUUCCAAGACUUUUCAAUAAGUUCAUUCAUUUCAAUGGCUAUCACAUCUUCAUUAGAAAAAUCCAGUUUCAUUGGCUCAUAAUCUUCGAUCGCAUGAUCGGCUAAGAACUUAGCUGUUGCAUUCACUUUAAUAGCCUUUUGAGUUACAUAAACAAUAUCAUAUUCUGAAAGCAUAACUUGUCACCACACUAUUCUUCUUGUUAAUAAACCCUUUUCGAAGAUAUACUUAAUGUGAUUCAAAUAUGCUAUGAGCUAAGUAAUGUGAUAAAGCUUGUAUUGUCUAAGCCACGUAUGUAAGCUUUUCAUCAAAAUGAAUUUGACUUUUUGAUGCAAAGAGGAUAGAACAACACUUUUCAUAUGAAUCUAUAGCUUACCCAAUACGUAACUAUAUGAGAGAGAGAUAUCUAUAACUUAAAAUUUUACAUUAAAAAUGCAAGGGUCAAUUUGUAACGACAUUUUUAUAUCUCCUAACACCUUUUUUCGAGUCUCAUUGAAGGUUCAAACUACAAUAUAACUAGGCUUCCUAUAAAAUUCAUCAAUAGAUAGUUUUAUCAAAGUAAUCAUAGGCAUAACAUUGAUUGAUGAGCCAUUAUUGAUUAAAACUUUAGUCAUUAUAUGACUCUUGUAUUUUACAGUAAUGUGAAGAGUCCUGGUACUUCUUUGACACUCAAGAAAAAUCUUUUCAUCAUAAAAAAAGAUGUAGUUUGAAAUUGCUAGAUUGCCAAUAAGCUGUUUCACGUAUUCAACAAAGAUAUUGUGAGACACAUAUGCUAGAUUUAUUACAUUUAGUAAAGUAUUACAAUAUGACUUUGAGCUUAGCAAUAAUGACAAUAGCAAAAUUUUAGCUGGCAUUUUAUUCAACUAUUCUAUCACGCUACACUUGUUAUGUUUUAUUAGUUUUAAAAAUUUACAAGCUUUAUUCUUAGAGAUCGACUACUGACAUUCUUUAUUAAGGAUUGUCACAAGAUUACUUUGACUUUUUUCUUUUUCUUUGACCUUUGCUUUUUUUUUCUAACGUUAUCUAGUGUUUUCAGAGUGUAACAUCUAUCAUUUUGGGUCAUACCUCAUACGCUUGCUAUGUUUACAAUAUCUGAAUUGACUAUAACAUCAUAAUCAUACUUUUACAAUAUUGUUUUGUCAUUCUUAUAUGAAAAAGGGCUAAGGACUUUAAUCAUCACUAUUGGUCAGGAGAUAAGCUUUUUUGACCUCAGGGUUGGCUUAUCAUCAUAAUAAAUAGUUACUAAUUUACACAUAAACUUAUUCUUUGAAUCAAUGGUAGACAACUUAGCUUUCAUCAAAUCUUUUUUUUCUUUGUAAAACUCUAUCCGAUCCAUAUCCAUCAACUUCUUCACCUCUUGACGAAAUUGGUCACAACUCUCGAUAGAAUGCCUCAAAGUAUCUUUGUGAUAGUUGUAGCUCUCGAUUGAGUUAAUCAUUCCUUAGCAAUUUUGAAACUCUAUGGACUUCAACAUAUCAGCUUUGACUAAGGCUUCAAACAUAUUAGCCGUUAAAGUUUUGACUUCAUCUAUCCCCUUCUUGACAUAACUUGCUUGUCCAUCAAUCAAAGCAUUUAUUAAUGGUAUAGUAUGGUUUGGUAAAAGGUUCUCAUUAACAUUUCUAGUCCCUCAUUGGCUAGUAUCAAAGUUUAACACCUUUUUAUUGAUUAAUCAUUGCACUUUAUGAUUUUAAAGUAGUAUAGUUUUUCAUAGAAUAGCCCAAGUUUCCAUAAUUAUAAUCAUAAUGCGCAUUGGGAUCAUACCAUUUAAAAAAUAAAGGUUUCAAAAGUUCAACAAUAACAAAGGCUAGUAAAUAUUUUUCAAUGAUUUGAGGGUGCAAAUUUGUGUAUGUCAUAGGGAUAAGGUCGAAAAUGGCUUUUUUUUAGGCAUUUUUUAGGGCUUUCAAACCACUACUUAGAUUGGAUCUCCAUUUUGGUUUGGUAGGUGUAGCAAGACAAUUAUAUGAAUAGGUAGGUAUCCGAAAGGAUUAUUGAAAAUAAAGUAAAUAAACUGGUUAUUAUAGGGAUUGAUACAACUGAUAUGGAUAAGGGAUGGAUGUAACAUUAUUUAUUGGUGGAUAAUGGGUUUCGUACACUAGUAUGAGAUAUGAGUGAAGCAUCUGAAUUGUUGCUCCACAUAGUUAACUGUUUGGGCUUUAUUUUUUUUCUUCAUAAAAGCUUCACCUUUCUUACUUUACAUGUUUUUUCUGUAUCAAGCUUACCAUUUUUAUGGCAUUUUCAAUAAUCUCACCAGAUAUCACCAUAUUUGUAAAGUUUUCAAUUGCAUUGCCCAUCAGUCUUUUAUAGUAAGGUAUUUUUAAAGUGUUCAGAAAUAGAAUAGUUAUCUCAUUUUUAGUGAGGGGAGGUUGUACUUGUAUGAUCACAUCUUUUCAUCUCUAUGCAUACUCUUUAAAAUUUUUUGUUGUUUUCUUUUCUAUGCUCUACAGAAACAGAUAAUUUGGAGCUAGAUCUAUAACAUGCUGAUAUUAUGCAAAGAAUGCCCUCAUGAGCUCCUUUCAAGAAUGAAUAGGAGUUCUGUCUAGUUGAACAUACUAUUUAACUGCAGAACCCAUAAGGUUAUCCUAAAAUACGUGUAUCAGUAGCUUCUCAUCAUAAGUAUACGUCACUAUCUUACGAUAAUAUAGGGUGACAGAGUUAUUGGGCAUUUUGUGUCAUCAUAUUUUUUAAAUUCAAAGACCUUGAAUUUAGGUGGAAUGAUCACAUCUGGAACUAAACAAAGCUUAGUUGCGUCCAUAGAGCCAUAAAAAUCUAUUAUCUCUAUGGUCCUAAGUUUUUCUUCUAAUAAUUUCAUCUUCUGUUGAGCAUUGGUAUCUUUCACUUUUUAAAAUGUUUUCAUCCCUAGCUUUUUUCUCUCAUUAGGAUCAUCCAAGUCAGGAAUCAAGAUUAGCUUUGAUGGUUUUUCUACUAUGAUAGGAUUACCAAAAUUUUAGAACUAUCUUGGAGUAGGUGUGGAUGUCAUUCCUAGAUAAGGAUAAAAAUAUCCUCUGGGAGUAAAAAUUUGCAUUUUGGCUCCUUGAGAAGGUUGGAUUGGUUGUGGCUUAAAUCGUAAAAGGUAUAUAGGAUCCACUAUGUUUGGCACUUGCUUUUGGAAACUGAGGUUUCUUUCUACUAUUUUUUCUUUGUCAAAAUUCUUAAGCAUGUCUAUUAUCUUAUUAAAAUCCCCUUUUAAUUUCUUUUAAGCCUUCUUAAUCCUUUAAAAUCGACUAGUGUAUUCUUGUUUCAUGAUUUUUGUUUGAGCUCUGGAGUUGUAUGAAUGGUUAGUAAGUUGAAUUAAAAUUUUUGGUGGAUGAGCUAUUCUUGAACCUUUAUUACCACAAAAAAAAAAAAUUUAAAUCAAAAUGCUAUGUGUUAGAAAUUUUAUUUUUUAACCUUCUUUUUGUGAUUUUUUAAAAAAAUAUAUGGUUAAAAAUAAUGCACAUGAUGCAUAAAUACAAGUGAGAGAUAUUUACUCUUUGACAAAUUUCAACACUAGAAAAUUUCAUUGAUUUCAACUUUUGUUAUAUAAGAUUUGUCAUCCUAGAAUUAUAUUCAUAGAAACAUUUGACUUGCUCAUAACGAUCUUUGGUCUCAUCUAAAAAGUUUACUUGAUGCUGGCUAUAUUCUUUUAUAAGAUUGACUUAUCUUCUUAAUGCCUUUACCUUUUUAACCAUCUUUCAUACCUUCUUUACUGCUUUGCAAACUUGACUGGUUAGGUGCUUUAUGUACUAUUGCCUUCUUAAGUUUUUUGCUUUUUAUUUCAUACAAGCAUCACUUUUCGAAUUACAUGUAAAGAUCCAAUCCUUUUUCCUUCUCUACCACUCAUCUAUUAUUAUUGAAAUAUGGUUCUUGUAAUUUUACAGUUACAGCUCUAACCUGUGGAUCACCUAGUGAAAUGAUUCUUUUUCGUUUAGUACUUUAAGGUGCUCUAUUCUCUUUUUUGUGAGCAUAGCCUUCAACUUUUCCUUUUCUUUCUAGCAUUCAACCAAUUUUGCCAAAGCUGUAAGGUAUAAUCCCUCAUAAUUUUGGCAUUAUUGAGAAAUUUUGAUGACCUCUUUUUCUAUUUUUUGAGCUUUGCUUUUUCAUUAGUUCAUUUCCUCUCAGAGCUCGUUCAUUUCAUGUUGCCAACUAAGGUUAGACUUAGUAACUUUUUUAGUCAUGAAUUGGACUCAUAACCUUUUGUUUUCUUGGUGUAGAUCUUUCAAAUCAAUGUUGGCCACUUGUCGUUCUUUUAUGACCUUCUUCAAUCUGCUUUUUUGUACUUUUACUUCUUAUUUUAACUAUCCUAUCUUUUCACUAAGUUUCAAAUUUUCUCUUUUUAUUUCUUUUUUUUUAGCUUCCAAUUUCUUCUUAACAAGCUCAACUUUUAAUAAUUGCACUUUUGUCAAAAUGUUAGCUAAUUGAUAUGAGUCAUCAUUAGGAAUGAACACCAUGUAUUUGAGUCACUUCACUUUUCAAAUCUGGUAAUUAUGAGUGAUUUUGUCAAGAAAAGGCCUUAAUCUCAUCUUUUGUGUUUUUUUCUAUGCUUGGAUUAACUGCUCCAAGAUUUUUAAUGGAUUAGAUUCUUCGUAAGUGAAUUCUACUUGAACUAGGCCAUGAGUGGCAUGAACAAACUACUUUGCAUCGAAUUGUCACAGUACCAUUAAUAGAGCGUAACUUACCAUACUCUUUAGUAUUAACAGCGGUAUCUAUGGUUCAUCAUGAGCACGCAAGGCAUCCAUGGCGCCAUCCAUUUUAUUUCAUCCUUGGUGAGUCUUCGCAAAAAUAAAACCCAUUUUUCUUUAGUCUUCAAUGUUGGCCAUUAGCUUUUGCAAAACUCUUCGAUUAGUGCUUAUUUAAAAAAUACAGCUCUGAGAAUGCACUCUUUCCACACUUGAAAUGAGUUGUGACCUACAUAUAAAAUAGCAGUGCACACCCUAUAAAUGUCUUUUUUCAUUUCAUUGAUAGAAAUUCAAUAACCUGAUUGGUUCGACUAAGACUGCUAGUGCAAGAUUAAUUGCUUAAGUUUUAAUUUACUCAAAAAAGUCCACCACAAUUAUUUCGAUGUAACACGAAAUCUUCAAGAAGAUCACCAUGACGUACACUGCCAAAGCAAACAUAACCAUGCCUUGAUCAUCAUUUAAAUGCCCUUGAAUAAAAUUUUGGAUAAAGUCCCAAUAGAUAUUGAGAUGUUCACCUUUAGGCUUUACGAAUGAAUCUAUGGUUUCUAUUUUAACCUCUAUAAGCUUUGCCAACCUUUUAUGAUAACUUGAUUUCAACUUUCGAGUAAACACUUUAUUUGGACAUUGUAGUUCUAUCAUGAGCAAAACUAAGUACUCCUUAAUAGUUGGCAUCAAAUAUUCCUAAUUAAAAGUGAAACAUCUAUAGGAUGGGUCCCAAAACUGUAUGGUUGCCUUGACUAACUGCUCCUCAAUCACUAUUGGAAUGAGAGAUACAAUCUGCCUAUACUUUUUGUAAAAGUUUUCUUUUCUUUUUUCACUUAAAUGACCCCAGAUGAUAGCUAAAUUUUUUAAAUUAUUUUGUGUAAGAUCCGAUUGGCUUAUCUUUAUGUUCUAUUAUUUUUAACAAAUCAGAAGGUAGUGUGUAAUUAUCAAAAUCUUUUUCAUUAUCAAGUUCGUCAACAUGAAUUAGGUUUUCAAAAUUGAAUAUGAGAUUAUUGUCAUAAUUAUCUUCGUGUUCAUUAUUUAGGAACCUAUAAAUGGGUGAGAUGAAAAGAAUAUUGGCACCCAAAAAUGGAAUGAUAAGAAAAUGAAAAAAGAAGUGGAUCGAAUGAAUGAAAGUGAAAACAAAUAAAAGAAAUGCAAACGUAUUUUUUAAAACUUUUAUUAAAACGAAACAUAAACACUCCAUAAAAGAUCUUUUAAUGCUUAUAAAGAGCAAUUAGAGAUUUAUAGUUUCAUAGUACAUUACUUUUUAGAAAUUUUAAAAACAACAAGUAACUCUAUGACAUUCCAAUUAUUUAGCUCGAAGUUCGAAUGGCAAGGAUGCAUAAACAAUUUUUCAUCUUAGCUCUUUUUUCCUUCUUCAUCCACCACCUGAAUGGUCAGCUCAGAAAAAUCUUCCACCAAUUUUGCAUUUAGGGCUUCAAACGAAUCUGGAUAAAUAUAUCCUCCCAAACAAAAACAAUCAUAAAGGGAUGGAAUAACCAUUAAUAUCUCUUGAGAUUAGCCAUUCUCUUUUCUUUCUUCUCAUUCACCAUUUUCAUUAUGUCUCCUCUUGUUGGUUUAUAACAUAAGCCAAAUCUGUCAUUCUUAUCAUAUAUUACCGACAACUUUAUGAUUCCUUGUAGAUUUUUCUCUAGUUUAGCUUCAAGUUGCCAUUCCAUCUUGGUAAGCUACUUGAUAACCAUUUUAAUUAUCAUAGACAGAUGCUGUGAAUAUAGUUUAGAUUCUUCUGCCACAUUUGUUAUGUUGGCAAUCUCAAAAGAUCUAUAAAAGCACUUUAGGGCUUUAUCUACCAUUUUUACAUAAGAAGUAUUUUAUCGAUUGGGUUAGAAGUAAAUUUUCUUCUUUUGUCACACAUGUAGGCUUUUCAUCAACAAUGAAUUUGACUUUCAAGUGUAAUGAGGAUGGAACAACACUUGCCAUAUAAAUGUAUGGCUUACCCAAUAAGCAACUAUAUAAGGGAGAGAUAUCUAUAACUUGAAAUUUUACAUUAAAAGUAUAAAGGUCAAACUGUAAUAGCAUUUUUAUAUUUCCUAACACCUCGUUUUGGGUCCCAUCAGAGGCCUGAACUAUCAUAUGAUUAGACUUCAUGUAAGAUCCAUCAAUAGGUAGUUUUACUAAAGUAGUCAUAGGCAUAACAUUGAUUGAUGGGCCAUUGUCGAUCAAAACCUUAGCCAUUAUAUGACUUUUAUAAUUUAUAGUAAUGUAAAAAGCCUUGGUAACCCUCAAGAGGAAUCUCUUCAUCAUUAAAAGAAAUGUAAUUUGAGAUUGCUAGAUUGCCAACAAGCUAUUCCACAUAUUCAAUAAAGAUAUCGUAAGACAUAUAUGCUUGAUUUAGUACCUUUAGUAAAGUAUUAUAAUGUGACUCUGAGCUUAGCAAUAAUGACAAUAACGAAAUUCUAGCUGGCAUCUUGUUUAACUAUUCUAUCAUGUUAUAGUCGUUAUGUUUUAUUAGUUUUCAAAAAUUCACAAGCUUCAUUCUCAAAUAUUGGCUUCUGACAUUCUUUAUUAGGGAUUACCAUAGGAUUACUAUGACUUUCUUUUCUUCUUCAACCUUUGCUUUUUUUUUUUUCUAACUUUUUCUAGUGUUUUUAAAGUGUAACAUCUCCCACUUUGACUCAUACCGCCCAUUAUGUUUAUAGUAUCUACAUUGACUAUAACAUCAUAAUCAUACUUUUAUGGUACUGUUUUAUCAUUCUUGUAUGAAAAAGGGCUAGAGACUUUAAUUGUCACUAUUGGUUAAGAGAACUAUUAAGGAACUAGUUGAUUAUCCAUGUAAUAUAUUUAUUUAAAUGUGUUUAGAUAUAUAAAUUAAUAUUAUUUAAUCAUUUAGAUGUUCAAUAUAUAUAUAUACUACAAAUAAUAUAAUUAAAAUAUCAAAAUAUAAUAAAAUUAAAUUUUUAAUUAAAAAUUUAAAAUAUAUAACAAUAAUAAUAUUUGAGGAAAAAUAAAAUAUCCAAAAAAUUUAUAUAUAAAUAGUAUAUGUGUGCCAUUUCCAUUUUGUGCAAUUAUUUUUAUACACCUGUAAGUUUAUAUAAUUUUAAAAUAAGUUUUAUUCAUUGAAAAAAAUAAUGAUUUUAAAUAUUUAAAUAAUAUAUAUGAUAGCUUACUCACAUGUAAACCUAUUUAAGAGCUGGGUUACCUAUUCGAACUUGAAAGCACACUCAAAAUUUUAAAGGGCUUAAAUAUGAAUAUUAGGUCCGUUAAAUGGGCAUGGACAAGUAAAUAAAGCCUAACAAAAAAUCAAAUCGGGCUUUGGUUUCACUAUUUUAGGUUGGGGCUCAACUCGACCAGUCUCGACAAUUAAAUAAAUCUAAUUACUUUUCUCAUAAUGGGACAAAGCAUUUAUUUUUUUUAUUAUGGACAAAACUCAUUUAUUUUAUUGUUUACAAUAAAAAAAGCUAUUUACUUUCUUUUUUAUAAUAGACAAGACCCAUAUUAUAAUUUAUAAUAAAAAAAAACCUAACCACCAACAUCUUUGCUUUCUUUUUCCCCUUUCUAAAUUUUACCCUUAUUUUUGUUCUAGGAUUAGCCGCUCAUUUCACUAAAAAUUUCUCCUUCAUUUCAUUUUAAAAUUAGCUUGUCUCCUUUAAAUCUCAAUAAUUUCAAACUCCUUUAAGAUUGUCUCCUCCAAAUUGGCUUGCCUUUUUUAGAUUGGCGUUAUCCCCUCUGUCACUAUAAGAAAAUUGCUCUAUGCUAAUGCUAAAAAAACAGUCAGUAAAACUUAAAAAUCCAUUGGUAUAGCACAAUAAACCUUAUAUUGACAGUCAAAAUAUCUAUUCUGAUAAAUUUAUAACCGUCAGUAUAUUCCUUAACAAUAUAGACUUAUAGUUUUUAAGCUGUUGGAAUAUAUAAUAGAGAUAUACUGACAGUUUUAGUCCGUCACAAUAUGUAUAGCUAUUGAUAUAGCAAAUAUUGUGUGCUCCACAUUAUAUCUUUUACCGACAGUUAUUCUCAUCAGUAUAGAUUUGUAUGUUUUAAUUUUUUAACUUAUACCAACAUGUCUCUAUCAGUAUAUUUUUUACCAAUGAUCAAUGCCCGUCAAUAUAGCCUAUGUGUUUUAAUUUUUACCAACGAUCCAUGAUGACUAUCAGUAUAGCUUAAAAUAUUUUAAUAGUAAAACGUGUCAGUAUAAAUUUUAAGAUGUCGCUAAAAACUUUUUUUUGAAUUAUAUUUUCAAUUAUUAAUAUUAAUUUAUCUACAAUCAUAAUAUGAUAUGGAUUCAUAUAAAGUAAAAAUACAUAAAAAAGUAAAAAUAUUUAAUAACAUUUGAAAUAAAACAACAACCAAAUUGUUUUAUAAUCCACAAAUUCAAAAUAAGUCAAGAACUAAUGUCAUUGUAGCAAAUCUAGAGAAAGAAAGAACAUUUAUAUCUAUGAAUGGUAUAGCCCUAGUUGAUAGUGUGUCUAAUGAGUGAUUCAGCAUUACUAGAAUUCCAAGCUCCCAUGGCAGAACCGUCUGGACCUAUAGUCCUUCCAUUUAGAGCAUUUAAGCUAAAAACAACCGUAGCCCUAUGUCGAAAAUAAAAGUAAUUGGAUCCAGGUAAAAGGAAACUUCAUCUAACUGUUUAAAUGUUAAGAAAUAGAUAAAUUACAUUCAGAAAGAAGAUAAUAAAGUUUACUUACUCAGAUUUUUUGAAUAAAAUGUUGAGUUCAUCCCAUCUAGACAUAGGUAAGCAACCUUAGGAGAAACCAAACAUCUCUGCCAUCCUUUACAAAUUUUGACCAAAUAGAGAAAAUUUUGUCAACCAAUUAUGAGAAAACAUUAAAAUGAAAAUGCAUUACCAAUAUUACCAAGGAAAUGGAGAUUAUGUUUUGUUUAAAGUGCACCCUAAACAUUCAAUCAUCCUAAGCUAUUACUUUUUCACUAAACAUUCAAUCAUCAAAGCCAAUGCCAGUAGAAGGAUAAAAAAAUAGGCAUGCUCAAUGACACAAAAUUGAAAUGCAAAAAAUGCAAAAUACCUUUGAUAAAUGAUGAAAGUCUUGAAGCUUCAACUUUGAUUCAGCUCUAAAACAAAAUGGGUGCCGAUGAGUUUAAGUUUGUUGAGUCAGUGAGAGGUAAAGAAAGUUGGUGGAAGGUAGAGAUUAAGCUAUAAGUACUGACGAGUGGAAAGAGUUGGUGGGAGAUGAAAAUUAAGUAUGUAGAGUCAGUGAGAAGGGGAGGUAAAAAAAAUUUUGAAUGGGGUUAUUCAAGAUACUUUUGGCCAAAAACGCCUUCAAUAAUCUCCAAAAUUUUUUAUGACCGCCAAAAACGCCUUCUCCCAAAAUUUUUUAAAUGGAUUAUUAAAGGUGCUUUUUACCAAAAACGUCCUCAAUAAUCUCUUAUAAAAAUUUGUUGAAGAGAUUACUGAAAGCGUUUUUUACCUAAAAUGCCUUCAAUAUUUCUCUCGUAAAAAGUUAUGAGAGCUUGAGAGUGUUUUUGACCAAAAACGUUUUCAAUAAUCCCAUCAUAACUUUUUACAAGGGGAUUAUUAAAGGUAUUUUAUGUCAAGAAUACAUUUAAUAUUCCCCUCAAUAAAUUUUUAUGAGGGAUUAUUAAAGGUAUUUUUGGUCAAAAACACCUUCAAUAAUCCCUUCAUAACUUUUUAUGAGGGAAAUAUUAAAUGCAUUUUAGGCAAAAAAUACCUUCAAUAAUCCUUUCAAUAUAUUUUUAUAAAAGAUUAUUUAAGAUGUUUUUAGAUAAAAAAAAUGCCUUCAAUAAUCCAUUCAAAAAAUUUUGAAAAGGGAUUAUUGAAGGUGUUUUCAGCUAAAAACGCCUUCAAAAACACCUUCAAUAAUCUAUACAAAAAAUUUUAAAGGGAUUAUUGAAGGUAUUUUUGGCCAAAAAUAUCUUUAACAAUCCUCUCAUAACUUUUUAUGAGGGGAUUAUUAAAGGUGUUUUAGCCGAAAAUACCUUUAAUAAUUUUCUCAAUAAAUUUUUAUAAGAGAUUAUUAAAUGUAUUUUUGGUUAAAAACGUCUUCAAUAAUCCACUCAAUAAAUUUUUAUAAAGGAUUAUUGAAUGUAUUUUUUGUCAAAAACAUCUUCAAUAAUCCCAUUCAAUUUUUGGAUAGCCAAUAGUUUUUUUUUUUUUAUUUUGAGCCUAUACUAAUAGUUACAUUAAUAACUGUCAGUAUAUAAUAUAUUUAUAUUUACGGAUAGUCAUAUACCAUCAGAAAAAGUUUAUUUAUACUGACGGUUAAACAAAGUGUUGGUAUAAGUAUGGUAUAUUCUGAUGGUAUUAAAACUUUAUCAGUAAAAUUCUUAUUUAUUGAUAGAAUUUGACCGUCAGUAAAUAAUCCAUACAAAAAAAUUUUUGUAUGGAUUAUUGAAUGCAUUUUUGGUCGAAAAUGUCUUUAAUAAUCCCAUUCAAAAUUUUGGUAACUAAUAGUUUUUUUGUUUUGAGCCUAUACUGAUGGUUACAUUAAUAACCAUCAGUAUAUAACAUAUUUAUAUUGAUGAAGUCAUAUACCAUUAAAAAAAUUUAUUUAUACCAACGAUUAAAUAAAGUAUUGGUAUAAGUAUAGUAUAUUCUGACAGUAUUAAAAAUCUGUCAGUAAAAAUCUCUUUUAUUGAUAAAAUUUAACUAUCAAUAUAACCAAGCAUCUGUAUAUGAAAAAGUUCUCUAACUCGCAAGUUAAUCACUUUAUGGUAAUUUUUUUUCACUCUUGUCUUUAUAAUUUUUAGUUUAUUUUCUUUAUUUUCCAUAUUUUUAGAUAUCAAAUUAAGUUUUUAAACUAAAACUAUUUUUUUAUUUUGAAUAAUCAGGGGUAUUGGUUCAUAAAAGCUAGUAUUUAUUAUGUACUUCUUGAUAGCUUGUGGGACUAAUUAAACUAUAUGACAAUGUCUUUGGCAAACCUUAGCUCUCUUAUUUUAUGUAAGAAUCGAUUUGGGCAAAAAAUAAGAUCCGAAGAGUCAGGCCAGGUCGAGCCUAGACUUGUUUAUAAUAUUUUCAUAUCCUACUUUAGCCUAGCCCGGAUUCGGUUUGACCCAACCCAUGAACAUGUCUACUCACAUGUAUAUUUUUUGAAAGAGUUUUAGUAAUAUCUUGAUUUUCAACAAUUAUAAGAUUUGCCAAAUUAAUUUUUAUACUUGUUUUAAACUUUAUAUUUGAUGCAAAAUUAUGUUACUGUAAAAUUAGAAACAAAAUAGCUUUAAAUUUUAAGUAAUAGUAUUAAAUUUUAAACAAUUAUUUUAAAAAUUUUAUUGAAAAAAGGUUUCAAUUAAAAUGAGUCAAUUCUCAUUCACAGGAUUUUAUAAUAAAUUUAAAAGGUAAAAAGCUUUGCUUUUUAUUUUUACAAUUUAAGUUUUGCUUCCAAAAAAAACCAAUAAUAUUAUAAAAAUUAAAUUAUAAAAACUUAAUUUUAAAUAAAUAAACACAAUUUUACUUUUAUAUAAAAUAAUUAUCUUAAAAUUAAUACUGUAUUUUAGUCAUUUGCUUUUAUUUAUAAAUUUAAAAAAAAGUGCAUAACAAAAUCAACAAUUAAAAGUAAGCCUGUGUAAUCUUUUCUAAAUAAAUAAAAAAAAAUAAAACCAACAAACAAUAUCUAAACAAUUAAAUCAAUAUUUUUUUACCUUAAAUUGUCAAAAUAUUUGAGAAACAUCACUACAUGGGUUUUGAUUUUUAGUGGCAUUUUUUUACGUUUAGUGGCGUUUAAAAACACCACUAAAAGAUUUACGCAAUUUGCAAAAAACAUCAGUCAAAGUGUUGGCUAUACAUGCCUGGUGAAAAAUAGCGGUGUUUUCUAAAAAAUACCGCUACAUUAGCAGUGUUUGUAUCUAAAAAAUAUCGCUAUAUUAGUAGUAUUUUGUAUAUAGAAAAUACCGUUAUAUUAGCAACGUUUAUACCUUUGACAUACCGUUAAUUUAGUAGUAUUUUAUAAGAAAAAUACCGUUACUUUGGUGGCAUUUGUAUCACAAAAAUGUUGCUAAUUUAGCUCGUUUACUAGCAAGACCGCUGCUACUUUUAGUAGCAUUUUAUGGUACAAAUGCCACUAAAUUAUUCAUUUAGCUACAUUUUCAAACACAAAUACCGCAAAAUUGAGAAAUGUAUUUUUUUUAAAUAAAAAAUUUAUGUUAAUAUUUAUUAUUUUCAUAAAUGAGCUUAAAUUCAUAUACUAAAAUUAAUAUAAACUUAAUUCACGUUCAAAUAUGUAUCUAAUUAAUACAAAAUUUAAUAAUUAGUAUAAUAACAUUCAAAUUUUUUAAUACAUUAACAAAAUAAAAAUUAAAAUGUAUAAAAUUGAUGACUGGAUAUAUUUUGAAGGCUGUCAAUUGAUGACGAAAUUUUUCCACCUUGGUCAAUAGCGUGCUUAAGAACCUACUGAAUAAUAGCAUAUAAUUUUUAACACUUCAUUGUAAGCUUUUUUUAUAUUAAAAAAUAUAAAUAUUUACUAAAUAUAAUACAUGAGUUGAAAGACCACCGAGAUCAGUUCCUGAAAAUUGUUGUUGCACAAAAUUAAUAAAAUGAUCGAAUCGAUCAUGCAACUGCUGAAAUUUUGUACGUUCUUGCUCCAUUCUAGCAAGUUCUUCCUCAAUUUUGGCACGCUUUUGUUCUCUUUCUGCUUUCAUUUGCUGGAAAACAUUGUUGCAUAGUUUGCAACUCUCUCAAUAUCGAAAUGUCUAGUGAAGAUUGACUUGCUGAGAAUGUAAAUUACUAAAAGCUAUGUCCAUAGUAGGUAGAUGGUGUUGGACCCAAUCCAAAGCCUCAGACCUGUCCAUGCCUUUUUUUUCUAGCAACUUCUAUGAGUAUCCGAUUUUUCAAUUCUUACAUAUUGAGAGAACCAUCAGAUAUUACUUCAAUCUCAACAGUCAUUUUUUCUUUCAUUUUUUCCUAUAAAUUAGUCAUAUACAACUAUCAAGUUUAAUGAUUAAUUGAUAAUAUGUUAAAAAGAGUAAAUAUUUACUUUCUGUUAAAAUAAAUAUUACAAAUUAUCACAAUUUCUUGUGUUUCGACAUUCAUGUAAGAUUUUUUUUUUGUGUUAAGUGAAAAAGUUUCACACGUCCAAUUUGACCACCCAUCUCAAUCUCAUAUACAAAAACAUAUGUUAUUUGAUAGGAUACAUAUCAACUGUAACUUAUUCAUGCAUAUCAUAUCUGUCAAUCAAGUUCACAAAUUUUAAAUAAUUUUAAUAUCAUGUAUUUAUAUUUUGGCCCCUUUACAAUAUAAUAAUCUUAACCAGAUGCAAACAAUAAAAGCACUUUGGCCUUUAACACAUAUCGAUCAUGGCAAUCAAAUUCAAUUAUUUAGACAAGUUUAAUAUUAUGGAUUGAUGCCAUUCAAACUAUUGAAAGCCAUCCACAAGUUUAAUUUGUAUUUUUACCUUUUAAAGGUAAAAAUAGUCCCAAAUAAACAUAAACAAUAACUUUUUCACCAUAUCAAUCGUAGAAAACAAGUUCAAUCAAUCAGGCAAGUUUAAUAUCAAAUAUUGAAGCUAUCCAAACUAUUUAAAUUGAACAAUAACAAAAAAUUUGUAAUUUUACUUAAAUAGACGUAAACAAUAACUUUUUCAUACAUAUCGUCCGUCUCAACUAAGUUUAAAACUUUUAAUAAGUUUAAUAUCAUGUAUUGAAACUAUCAAAACUAUUAAAAUAGUACAAUAACUGUUAAUUUGCAUAUUUACCUUUUACCGACAUAAAAAGUUCAUUAAUUGAAAUACGUUUAAAAUCAUAAACUUACUAUUUCUUUUUGCUUUCUUGCAAAACUUUUUGAUCCACUUGUGUGGCUAUUUUUUUGUUGCUUUCUGCUACUAAUCCCAAUUUGUUCUCUUUCCUAUCAUAAAAAAUAAUUUGGUAUAUCAUAGAAAUACAAAUAUUGCCAACUUAAAGCAUAAAACACUUUCAUUAUUUCAUUAUACUAUAUAAAGUUAUAAAUUAGUACCUUUCCUUUUCUUGAGAACUAAAAUCUAACUAAUUGUUCAUAUUGCCAGCUAAUCACAUUAUGGGGUAGAUUUUUCAUCGUCGCCUCUACAGUUGUAUUUUUAUCAACAUACUUAUUCUUCAAAUUAUGCUUAUAAUCUCUCCAUUUCUUUCCCAAUAACUUAAACACAAAUGAAAUUGAUAUUUUAAGUACAAAUCUUGACUGUAAUAAUAUAAAAAAAAUAAUCAAUAAACUAAAUUUAAAAUGAUUAAUUUUUUAUAUGUAAUUAAUUAUACUAAUACCUCAAUAAAGUUUAAAGCAUUAGCCUUUACUUCUGCUGGAACUUUACGUCAUGUUUCAUAAUGAAUAGGCAACUUCAUUCAAUUACGGGCAAACAUACCUAGAAAUCUAGCCAACAAUUGAGCCUCUUCACCAAUUGGUUGUCUAUUAGAGUUUGCAAACACUACAUUACGCUCAUUCGAAGGUAGUGCAAAUAAUUUCUUCAAAGUUGUUCAGCCUCUGGUCAUCCAUUGACCAUUGUUAUCAACUGUAAAAAUUAAAAAAUAAAUUUAUAAAAUGGCAAUACUUUUAUCAUUAUAAUCAAUUUGUAAAUAUGGGGUAUAUGAUACCUGCAUUCAAAUUUAAAGCAUAAUCAAUUAACGGGAUACUAUCUAAACUGAGACCUCUCGUAUUGCCAAAUCUAAUAUCAGUUGAAGGGUUAGAAGUGACUAAGUUAGAUCCGACAGUAUGUUCAAUCCCCUCCAAAGGAUUUAGUCCAUUGCCAAUAUCAACAGGUGUCACAGAUGAUUCUGAACUAAUAUUUCUUAUAUGUAUUCCUUUCAAUUUACUCAUUCACAUUGUAGCUUAUCUACAUCAUAAAAGUGAAUAUAUAAAAGAUAUUAGUUUAGAACAAAUAUAAAGACAUUGAGAAGUUAAGAAAUCAUAACCUACGAUACAAAAAGAACAUAUCGAUUUAAUUAAAUUAAAAGAUAAUGUAUGAUUUAUAAUACAAUAAAUAUACAAUAGCGAAUGCGACAUUAAUUACAUACAAUCAUUUAUUAUAUUAUGUCUUAAAUACUCGAAUUACAAAAUAUAGAUGAUCUAUCAUGGUUCAUAAAUGUCUUUCUUAAUAUCUUCACGAAACUACUGAGCAUAAGUACUAGAGAUAUUUUUGUCCAAGUUUUGUUCAGCAAAAGGAUAACAUUCAGUUUCAUUUUUAACAUCAUGUCUUGUAUCUAACCUCAUAUCAAAUAAGUCUCUAGGUGUGUUUCGAAGAACAACAAACUAACCCAAUUCUAUGGGAUCUUCAAAAUAAAAAACUUGUUUGAGUUGAGAUGAAAAAACAUAAGGUUUAUUAAUGAGUUGUUGUCCAGUGUGAAUUAAUCGAGAAAAAUUCUCAAGUGUAAAUCCAUAAUGAUCUUUCUUAAUAUCCUUCGUACUAUUCACAUCAGCCCAAUUAUACCAAAAUAAUAAUUUUUCACUUGCCAUAAUAAUCCAACUCAAUGAUGUCAAUAAUCAUGCCAUAAUAGUUAACAUUUUCUUUGAAAGGGUUUGUGUCCUUAGCACUAGCAUAGCUAGUAGUUGAUAAAGUAACAACUUUUGAAUUUUUUGUACUGCUAAAUCUCUCAUGAGAUUUUGUGUUAAAUUUAAAUUCAUUGAUGAUAAAACUUUUUUAUCGUUUCACAAUCCUAUUCAGACCUUGUGAAAGACACUUCACCUCUUCACUAACAAGCCUUUCACUCUAAACCUAUAAAAGUGAAAUAAAUAUAUAUGUUAUUAAUGUUAAUUAUACCAUAAGAUUUCUUAUAAAAGGAAGUAUGGCAUUACUUACAGUUGCUCCUAACCAUUCAUGAAAGUUUUUGGCAAACAAUUUAUCAAGCUCUCAAGAGUUUGAUUGUCAAUAAUGUGUAGGAGCUCUCAAAUUAUUUUUAUACUCACUAUAAAGCAACAUAAUAAAGUAUUAACAAUAAAAAAUACAAUAAAUUAUGGUUAAUGUAAUGACUAAUUUCUUUGCUAAAAAACUUAUGUACGAAAUGAUUCAACAGAGUCAUGAUGAAAAAGACCAUAUCGAUGUGCUUGUGCCUAAGAUUUAUCAUCUAACUCUACCAUUUCAGCUUUGCCUAUUGGUUAUCCAAAACUUUGAAAAAGAUAUCUGUAGGUAGAGUCAUGUUGCUACAUACCAACAUUUCUUAAUGGUCUAUUAAAUCUCGUUUCAACAUCUUUCAAAUAACGAGAACAAAAUGUCAUAAACUCUUUUGCUAAAUAUCUUUCAGCAAUAGAACCUUCUGGAUAGCAUUCGUUAUGAUAAUAAGACUUUAACCUCCCUAAAAACCUAUCACAUAAAACAUUAGUCAUAUAUCUUUUUAAUUAGAGUGGCAUGAUCAUCAAUAAGACCUUAAUCAAUCUAUUAAAUAAUAACAUCUUUCGAUAUACAUCCAUUGAUAAUAAAUUGACCCACCUACUUUUGUUUCAUAUGGAAGAUGGAUAAUCAAAUACAUCAUAAUAGUGAAGAAGUUUGAAGGAAAAAUCUUUUCUAAAUGGCAUAAAGUAAUUACAGCUCGAUCUUAAAGUUUAACAAGCUCAUCCAUAUUCAUACAUUUCUCACAUAGAGAUUUAAAUAUGUUACUUAAUUCGCUUACCACAUAAGUGACUUGUUUUGACAUUGAUGAACAUAAAGCAAUUGAAAGUAAGUCUUGCAUCAAAAUGUGAUAAUCAUGUGACUUCAAUGAAAAAAUUUUUCGCUCCUUCAGAUUCACACAUCUCGAUAUAUUUAACGUAUAGCCAUUCAAAACUUUGACAUUUUUCAAAACCUUGCAAAACAUAUCUUUUUCAGAUUUAGAAAUCCUAAAACAAGUAGCAGGAAUCGAUAUUUGUCGUUAGAAAACAAUUUUGGAUGAAGGUCAGGGUGAAUCUUCAUAUUAACUAGGUCAAGCUGACUCUUUAAGUCAUCUUUUGAUCUUUUAUUCAUAUUAAGAAUUAUCGCAAUAAAAUUUUUACAAACAUUCUUUUUUUUGUGCAUCAAAUUAAGGUUAUGAUGUAAUAAAUUAUAUUCUCAAUAAGGUAACUCAAAAAAGAUACUUCUUUUUUUUAAUAACUCAAACUCAUUGGGGUUAUUUUCUUCAUCAUCCUCUUCAUCACUUUGAACAUCAAAAUCACCAACUUCAGUAAUAGUAUCACCAACUUACAUAAUAUGAGGUCGUACACCUUCAAAGAUACUCUUCACUCUUUUUCUUGAUAGAGUUAUUUUUUUAUAAGUGAAAUUGAUAUCUUUUAACUUUGACAAGAUAUUAAACCCACUAAUGGGUAAAAGAGAUUUUCUCAACUCUUCAGUUCUAUCAAAGAGAUGUUUAUGAAAUCUAAAUCGAUGAUUAUCAUCUAACCAUCGAUGAUAUCCCAUAUAACAAAACUUCUUACCAUUAGGUAACCACUUCAAACAUGUCUAUGUAGCACAACAUAGACAACCAUAAUGACCUUUUGUACUUCAACUAGAUAAAUUGGCAUAAGAAAAAAAAUCAUUGAUAGUCCAUAAUAAAGUAGUACAUAUAUUGAAGUUAUCUUUUUUUAUGCAUCAUAGGUCUCAACUCCUUCCCAUAAUUACUUUAAGUCUUUAAUAAGAGGUUGUCAAUAGAUGUCUAUAUCAUUAUUCAAACUUUUUUUCUUGAAAAUUAUCAUAGACAAUAUAAAUGACUAUUGCUUCAUAGUAAUCCAUGGUGGUAAAUUGUAAGGAAUCAAUAUAACUGGUUAAGUACUAUAAGAAGUACUCAUCAUUUUAAACUGAUUAAAUCCAUCGGAUAGUAGUCUAAGCAUAACAUUUUAAGGAUCAUAUGCAAAGUCUGAAAACCUAGAUUGAAAUUUCAUGCCAAAGAAUAUGUAGGAUGCCUAAAUGAUCCAUCAUCUAUCCAUUUUUUAUGAUGCCACCUCAUUGAAUCUAUAAUUUUGAAAGACAUGAAGAGUCAUUGAAGUCUUGGUAUUAAUGAAAAAUAGUGUAAAACCUUAACAAACUUCUUUUUGAUACUAACCUCAUCACCAUCCUCAUUCAACCUUUCAUUGAGGUUUUUAUUCACCCAAUUAGAAAUAUCACACACAUGAAAAAAUUCUUGACUUUUUCUAUCACCCUAAUACAACAUGCAAUCAUUGGGACAACUAUGAAUUUUCUCACAUCCGAGACCUAAAUCCUUGAUCAUCUUCUUUGAUUCAUUAUAAGAUUCAGGAAUUUUUGUAAAAGAAAAUAUUUCUUUCAUAAACUCUAAUAAUAAAGUCAGAGAGUUUUCCGUCCAUCCACAUAAGCAUUUCAAGUGAAAAAAAUAAACAUAAAAAGACAACCUUGAAUGCUUUGAGCCCUCAUAAAGUUCUUUAUUCAUAUCCUCAAGCAACUUAUAAAACUUUGAUGUUUCUCUUAUAGGUUAUUGGUCAUAUAUACCUAUCCCAGGUUUAUCAAAUUCAUUCAUUUCAAUAUUAGACUGAUUAAAUCCAUCAUUUUAGGGAAAAUGAUUAUGAAAAUGUUAGUUAUGAAUGUUAAAAACAUCUCACAACAUGCUUUCAAUGUCAUCUGCUAUAAAAAGAUCAUGUUGGUGUUGAAAAGCCCUUGAAGUUGAAGGAACUUUAAUGAAAAACUUUGAUGGUACAGACUCUCCAUAAAAAUACCAAUUAAUAUAUUUCGAGAAAAUUUUAAUACAAAUUAAAUAUUCAAAAAUAACUUGACGCUUUUGUCAAUCUAUAUUAGCACACUUCACACAUGGGCAUAAUAUCAUAUUAUUUUCACUUGUAUUCUCAAAUGCAAAAUUAAGAAAAUUUUUCACUUCAUCUCUGUACUCUUAACUUAAUUUUAACUUUUGCAUCUAACUCUUAUCCAUUUAGUACUUACUACAGUAUCAAACUAAAUGUAUAUAAAUAAUUUAUAUGAAAACGAACAUGCCAAAUACUUAAGUUUACUAUGUUUUAAACAAAAGAUAAUAACAAGAUCAGUACUUACAAAAAAUGAAAACUCCUUGUUGUAAAAUAUUUUAUCAGGUAUCUAAUAUUAUGAAUGUUAAAAUCUGCUGCUAACAUAGACAAUACCCAAGAGUUUUUAUAAUUGAGGUUGAAAUAAGGUAAAACAGGUACAGAAGAAACCCAAAAAAAGAAAAAAGAAAAUGAAAGAGAAAAGGAAGUUAAUAAUGGGUUAUAAAUGGGUAUUUCAAGAAGGUGGGCUUUAAAGAAAAUUGUUUAAACUAAAAAAAAAAUCACCAAUUGCAAAAGCUGAAGGAAUAGUCGAAUUACGUAAAAAUAUUAGUAAAUAACUAAUGAAUAGUUGAAAUCGGGUUCUAAAAUAUAACGUUCGAAUAGUAAAAGCUGAAGGAAAAGGAAAGUAAAUUGUAAUUGGUCUGAAAAAAGAAAUAGUAAAAUAAUAAAUAUGAAGCUUUAAGUUGGUGAUUGGAUGCGCUAAGUUUGGAGACAAUUUUAUUGGAUCGGAUUAUUAAAGGCAUUUACGAAGAAAAAUGCAUUCAAUAAUUUUCUCUUAUACAUUUUUUAAAUAUAUUAUAGGUGCCAUCAACAAAGUCGUAAUAGAAUUGUUUGCAAUUAUUAAAGGCAUUUACGCACCAAAAAUGCCUUCAAAAAUUUCAUCUAAUUUUUAUGAUAUAUUUAUUGAAGGUGUUUUUUGCAUAAUACACCUUCAAUAAUUCCUUCUUUUUUUUCUAUGAAUAUCAGUCAAUGUGUUUUCUACUAAAAAUGCCUUUAAUAAUUUUCUUUUAAAAAUUGUUUGAGAUUAUUAAAGACAUCUUCUAUAAAAAAAUGCCUUUAAUAUUACACUUCUAAAAUUUUAAGGGGUUAUUAAAGGUGUUUAUUCCAGAAAAAUACCUUGACUAAUUUUUUUUUAUUGAAAAAAUUUAUUGAAGGCGUUUUCUAAUGAAAAACGCAUUCAAUGUUUCACUACUCAAACUUUAAGACGGUUAGUGAAGGCAUUUUUUUAGAACAAACGAGUUCAAUAAAUUUUUUUUAAAAUUUUUGAGAUUAUUAAAAGCGUUUUUCAGUGAAAAAUACAUUCAAUUUUUCAUAACACAAAUUUUAAGACGUUUAGUAAAGGUGUUUAUUCUAGAAAAAUGCCUUCACUAAUUUUUUCUAAUUUACGUACAUAAUAAUUGAAGGUAUUUUUUUAGAACAAACAUCUUCAAUAAUUUUUUCUUAAAAUUUUUUAGAUUAUUAAAGGUGCCUUCAAGUGAAAAAUGCCUUUAAUUUUUCAUAACUCAAAUUUUAAGACAGUUAGUGAAGAUGUUUCUUUUAGAAAAAUGUCUUCACUAAUUUCUCCUAAUUUACAUACAUAAUUAUUAAAUGUAUUUUUUUAAGAAAAAAUGCCUUUAAUAAUUUUUUCUUAAAAUUUUUGGGAUUAUUAAAGGCGUCUUUCAGUGAAAAACGCCUUCAAUUUUUCACAAUUCAAAUUUUAAGACGUUUAAUGAAGACGUUUAUUCUAGAAAAAUGCCUUCAUUAAUUGCUUUUAAUUUACGUACAUAAUAAUUGAAAGUAUUUUUUAAGAACAAAGGCCUUUAAUAAUUUUCUCUUAAAAUUUUUGAGAUUAUUAAAGACGUCUUUUAGUGAAAAAUGCCUUCAAUUUUUUACAACUCAAAUUUUAAGACAGUUAGUGAACGCAUUUAUUCUAGAAAAAUACCUUCACUAAUUCCUUCUAAUUUACAUACAUAAUUAUUGAAGGUAUUUUUUGAAAACAAAUGCCUUCAAUAAUUUUCUCUUAAAAUUUUUAGAAUUAUUAAAGGCAUUUUUCAGUGAAAAACGCCUUUAAUUUCUCACAACUCAAAUUUUAAGACAUUUAGUGAAGGCGUUUAUUCUAGAAAAAUGCCUUCACUAAUUCCUUCUAAUUUACAUACAUAAUUAUUGAAUAUAUUUUUUUAGAACAAACGCCUCCAAUAAUUUUUUUUUUUUUAAUUUUGAGACCAUUAAAGGCAUUUUUUAGUGAAAAACGCUUUUAAUUUUUCACAAUUCAAAUUUUAAGAUAGUUAGUAAAGGUGUUUAUUCUAGAAAAAUACCUAAUAAACACCUUCAUUAAUUCCUUCUAAUUUACGUACAUAAUUAUUGAAGGUAUUUUUUGAAAACAAACGCCUUCACUAAUUUCUUUUAAUUUUUGUACAUAAUUAUUAAAAGCAGUUUUCUACUAAAAAUGCCUUCAAUAAUUUUUGUUCAUAAUUAUCAAAGGUAUUUUUUGAGAAAAAACACCUUUAAUAAUAAAUUUUAUAUUCAUUCCCUAUCUUGGACAUCGGAAUCAAAAUUUGUUAGUAUACAGAAUAAUUAAAAGUUGUAUUAAUCAAUCAAACCAAACCCACAAAUACAUUUCUAUCACACUUUUGGUUUCUUUAUCCCUAUCGUCGCUACCAACCUUUAAUAAAUCAAUGACGCUCACCUCUCUAUUUACCGGUAUGUUUUUAUAAUUUUUGUUUACUGUAUUAUUUAUAUUAUUCGAUAGAGCUAUUUUUUUCGAUUCCUUACUAUUUACAUAUGGAUAUAUAUUUUUAUUAAUUUUAUCGUAAGCGUAGUCCUCCAAGUACCUAUCAUUGCAUGUAUGCUAUUUCUGUGUAGGCUUUUGUUAAUAAUGUGGUUUGCUGAACCUUGUUAUGUGAUAGUGUUUUGCUGAAUAGUAUUGUAUGAUAUUGGUAUGCUAAAUUGUAUACUAAAUGGUUUGCUGAAUGAUGUUUCUGAAUGGUUUGCUGAAUGGUGUUUCUGAGUGGUUUGCUGAAUGGUGUGUCUGAGUACAUUGCUGAUUGAUUUAUUGAAUGGUGUUUCUAUAUGUAGUAUGGUAUUGGUGGUAUUUAAUUACGUACAAUAUUAAAUUUAGACAGUCAUUUUAUGUAAUUCGUAUAAUUAUAAUCAAAAUUAUAGGUAUUUUGACUCUGAACAACAUCAUUUUUCUUCUAUUAAACAUGCAAAAAACACACAUGUAGGUCAAAAAAGAAAGGAAAAGGGCCCAAAUAAAUAAAUUAAAGUGAGUAACAUAAAAAUUCACGUUGAUUUUAAUCAAAGUGGGUAGCCUGUGUCUGAAAGAGCUUCCAAGAUGGCUACUCAUAUUAGAGCCAUCGUCCAUCGUAAGAUUUCAAUUAUGUACACCGCUUGGCGACGAGUUUCUAAUGAUCUAAAAGAUUAUAUUUGGCAGUUGGUAGUGGUAUGUUUAUUCAACUAUUUCAUAAAAUUUGUUAAUGAUCAUUUAAUUGAAAUUCAAUGUGUUCUCACAAAUUAUGUUAAAUAAUUUAGGAACGGUUUGACAUCCUAAUUUAUUGUAAAAAGAUUGUGUUGCAAUAUGCUGAAAAAGCAUUUAGAGAUUUUAAAAGCAGAUUGAUAACCUAAUAUAUUUUAUCACUGGCUAAUCAAGGUGAUGUGUUGGUUAUUCCACCUACGGUAUAUACAGAUAUGAUAAAUGUUGAAGAUUGGAUAAAUUUUGUUUGAUAUCAACUUUCAGAAGAUUUCUCAGUACGUAAAUCCAUUACCAAAAAUAUUGUUUAUAAGUCUUUAUGCAAUAUAGCCUUUGAUCUUCAUAUGUGAUUGACGUAAUUUCUUUCUUUUAUAGAAAAUCAAAGAAAACCAACGGAACAUUUGGGUCAAACAAUAAUAUCACCAUCGAACAGCGAGAAAAGGAUAUGAAAAUGUGAAGUAUAAGCUUGUAUGUAUUCACACACUUGUUUUAUACUCAUUAAUGAAUAUUUAUGAACAUUCAUUUCAUACAUUCUAAUUCUUUUAUUGUGUUAAUUUAAUAGGAAUCAGUAAGCUCUGGCAUCGAUGUUUCUAAAUGGGAUGUCUAGAAACAAAAACAUCUAUAGAAUGAUAGAUCCUUUGUAGAUAAAGUAAUCGAAAAAAUGACAAAAAAGAUUGUAUGUAUAACUACUUUUUUAAUAUAAUAUAUGAUUGACAUUGUGAUUGUAUGCAUGACUGUAUACUAGCUUGUAUAGAUUUAUUGUCACAACCUAUCUUAUUAUUGUCUUUCAGGAUGAUUAUGUUGUCAAAGUCUAAUCAGGUGAAUUGGUAACCCAGUAUGGUGAAGAUCCUUUGUCUUUAGCAUUAGGCGCUAAAGAAAAGCUUGGUGGGGUUAGUAUGGCUGGUAAAUUUGUCUUGCCAUCAAAGUUUUUUAGUAAUCAACAUAAAACCCUGCAAUUGAAAAAUGCACAAUAUGAAGCAAUCAUUGAGCAACAAUAGCAACAAAUUGAUGACUAGGAACAAUGCCUCAAUGAGCAACAAUAAAAACUCGCUGCUUUGGAGUUCAUGUUGGUAGCAAUGUAACAUAACAUGCUAGUAGGCCGAUCGAUAGCAUUAUCCAUGUAGGAUAAGCUGCCAUUGCAAGUAAGAAAGUGAACCCAUCUUCCGCUACCACCUAAGAAGUAUGAUUUUAUUUAUAAUGUUAAUAUUCAUUUGUUUAUUUUAUUUAUUGAUUUAGUUUUAAUACUUAUAUUUUAUUAAAUAUUGUGGCAGGAUGUUGCAACUCACAGUAUGACCCUUGUUCAGCUUACUAUAGAUGAGUUAUCCAAAUAUUCGUUAGAGUAUUUAUCCAGAGAAAACUUCAUAGCCAUUGAGUCUGAAAAAGGAUUAUUUGAUAAACUAUCAUUUUCUUUCAUUGGUGUGGAAGAGGUUAAAGAAUUUUGUGAACUGAAUGAAUUAUCAACUAUUGAUAUUAUUGUUUAUAUGAGGUUAGCUUAUAAAUACAAAUAUGAACAUUCAAUAUGUAGUAAUCUAUAUUAGGAUGUAAUAUUAACUAUCAAUGUUGAUUGUUAUUAUGCAGCUUACUAUAUAGAGAGCUCAAGGGGAGAUAGUUGACCAACAAAUUUAGAUUCAUUGACCCUAACUUCAUUAGUGAGCAGAGUGACACAGUUGCUUAUCGUGCUAAUCAUGUGAUCCAAUGCAUGAAAAGAUUGGCUUAUUAUUAUUUGCUCUCGUAUAAUGUGCAGUAAGUUAUAUUACAACCUUACUCAAAUCUGAUCUGAUGCAUAAUCUGAGUAUAUCAUCGUUAUUAUUUUACAGUCGUCAUUGGUUGCUUAUUGUGAUUGACAUCAAAUCUUUAACGCCAUACUUACUUAAUUUAGUUAAUCUAACAACGAUGCCUAAUCUCGAUAUUCAAACUUUUAUAAAGAGGUAUUACACUUUAUUAUAUUAUAUAUCUUCUAUUUUUUUAUAAGUAAUUUUAUUUAUGUAUUAAGUAAUUUUUUUCUUUUCAAUUUAGGGUAGUAUUUGCAUUCGAUAAGAAGAUAAAGAAACUAAAAUGGGUGUCAUUAUCGAUAAAUAUGAAAUUUAUUCUUUUAUGCUGAGUUUGUGUAGAUAAAGAUUUCCUAAACCCACUCAAUUUAUUUUUUAGGUACCUUGUCAACCCGAUAAUACUAAAUAUGGAUAUUAUGUCCUUCGUUUUAUGCGAAAGAUAGUAUUAGAUGAUUUUAUGACCACACCAUUCAAGAUUAGUAUAAAUUUCAUAAACUCGUUAUAUCUUCAAAAAAAUAAAAAGGUACAUUAUGUUCUCAUUUAUUAACAUUUACUUCUGAUAUAUAUUUUUUAAUAAGAGAGUAAAGAAAUCUUCACGGAAAAAGAAUUGGAUGAAGUUCGUAAAAAAUGGUGUGAGUAUGUAUUAUCAUUUAUCAAUGUUGAUAAACCUUAGGUUAGACAUUAUUGGUUGAAUGUAAAUAUAUGAGGAACAAAUUGUUAUAAUGUUUUAAACAUGCCAUGUUGAAUGGAAACUUUAAGUUUGUACAUUGAGGUAUUGGUUUAAUAUUAUUGGUAUACUUAAUAUGAAUAUACUAUGUGUACUUAAUAUAUUAUUGAGUAUGAUUAUUUCAUAAAAGUAUAUUAAUAUGGCAACGUUAUCAAUUUUAAUUCCGGAUGUGUGGUCAAUUUAUUGAAAUACAACAAUAUUCAUUAUGUAAAUUCCAAAAUGUAAUUCAUAGUAUCACAUAUAUAAAUUAAAUAUUUUUUUAGCAUAAAUAUACAACUGACUUCAAAUAUUUUCUGGGCAUAAACCUACAACUGACUUGACAUAUACAAUAUCAAAUAUAUUUUUUUGAUGGGAUUAAUGAAUGCGUUUUUAGCAAAAAAAAAUGCCUUGAAUCAUCUCUAAUAAAUGUUAUUGAAGACAUUUUUAACUAAAAUCGCUUUCAAUAAUCCCACCUAAAAAUAUAUUAUGUGAAAUAUUAAAGGCAUUUUGAAAAAAAAAAUACUUUCAAGAAUCGUACCAAAUAUUGUGCAUGGAUUAUUGAAUGCAUUUUUGAAAAAAACUGCCUUUAAUAAUUUCUAUUAAAAAUUUAUUUAUUGGAUUAUUGAAAACACUUUCACCCAAAAAUGCCUUCAAGAAUUCGUUUCAUAUUUUUUUUAUGGAUUAUUAAGAGCAUAUUUAGUAAGAAAAUGCCUUGAAUAAUCUUUAACAAAAUGUUAUUGAAGGCGUUUUUUACCAAAACCACCGUCAAUAAUCUCACCUAAAAUUUUAUUGUGUGGAAUAUUAAAGGCGUUUUGGACAAAAAAUGCCUUCAAGAAUUCGUUCCAACUUUUUUCUAUGGAUUAUUGAAGGCGUUUUUUAAAAAAUUACCUUCAAUAAUACCAACUAAAAAUUAAUUGAAUGGAUUUUUAAAGGUAUUUUUUUACCAAUAACACCUUGAAUAAUCCCCAACAAAAUAUUAUUGAAGGCAUUUUUAGAAAAAAUCACCUUCAAUAAUCCGACCAUUCAAAUUUAUCGUCUAAAAUAUUAAAGGCGUUUUGAGCCAACAAUGCCUUCAAGAAUUUAUUUCAACUUUUGUCUAUGGAUUAUUGAAGGCGUUUUUUACAAAAAUUGCCUUUAAUAAUCCUAACUAAAAAUUUAUUGAUUAGAUUAUAGAAAGCGAGUUGGGCCAAAAAUGCCUUCAAAAAUCGAUUCCAUAUAUUUUCCUAUGGAUUAUUAAAAGCGUUUCUCUACGAAAAAAUGCCUUUAAUAUUUUCUCCAAAAUUUUUUAAAGCAAAUGGUGAAGGCAUUUUUACCAAGAAAAUGCCUAGAAUAAUCAAUUACAAAUAAUCUCUACAAAAACCCAAAAAAGGCUAAAGAGAGGGAUCAAACAUAUCACCUUAUGGUUAACAUCCAUACGAUCUUAAAAUUUUGAUAUGAUAUUUAUUGAAGGUGUUUUUAACCAAAAACACCUUCAAUAAGCCUGUGAAAUUUUUUGGUGAAAUUAUUAAAGGUGUUUCUUAUAGAAAACGCCUUCAAUAAUUGUAUACAUUUUUGUUAUGAGGGGAUUAUUGAAUGUGUUGUCUGCUAAAAAUACCUUCAGUAAUUCCCUAUCAAUUUUUUUAAUGGGAUUAUUCAAAGCGUUUCUGACAAAAACGCCUUUAGUAUUCACUCAAAUUUUUAAGACAAGAUUAUUUAAGGUUUUUAGUUGAGAAACAUCGUUAAUAUAAAGUCUUGGGUGAUGUUUAUAAGUAACAACGUCACUAUUUGAAUAUUUAGUGACGUUUUGAUAAUAAACGUCUUAAGUUUUAUGAAAACAUGAAAAUUAGCGACGUUUGUAAGUAAAACGCCGCUACAAAAUUGUCACUAAUAUUUCAUUUUCUUGUAGUGAAUUAUUAUUAUACUAAACCAAUCUUUUUUCUCCACUCCAAUAUCCAAGAAUUGUCAAAGAAUUUCUAUAACAUCCAUGCAUACACUUUGAAACAAAUAUAAUAUUUAAAGUUUUUAUAAAAAUUUCAAAAACAAAGAAAAAGAAACAUUGAUUUUAAUGUUUUUAAUAUGUGGAUGAACAAAUUAUAAAAAGAAAAAAAAUGGUGCAUCUCACGAGUUAAAAACCCAUUUCUUUGCAAGCAUAAAUGUUAAAAAAAUAUAGAAAUAGAAGUAACAUUGAGAAUAUCAUUAAAGAAUAAAUUAUCUUCUAAUAUAUGUGAUAUUUUAUCUUUUUAAAUUUAAAAAUAAUCAAAUAAUAAAAUAUUAUUAUGAAAUCUCUAAAAAUAAAAAUUAUAUUUUAAAUUUUGAAAAUUAAAAUGACAUAUUUAAAUUACUAAGAAAUCUAUUUUAUAAUAUCACUACAUUUAAGAUUUUUAGAUUUAAAAGGAUAUAUAUUUAUAUUAUUAGGAAACCUAUUUUAAAAGAUAAUAUAUCACUAUAUUUGAAAAUUUUAAAUGGAAAAAGAUAUAUAUAUAUAUAUCUAUAUAUAUAUAUGUAUGUAUAGAUUAUUUAGAAAUGCAUUUUUGAAAAAAAAAUAUUUUAAAUUAGAUUUUGUUGUUAGCAACUUAAAAAUAUCCGAAUUGGUCUUCUACUUAAAUUUAAAAAUUUUAGAUAAUUAAGUAAUUUUUAAAUAUAUAUUUUUGAUAAAUAGCUUAAAAUUAGGAAAUAUCUUAUAAGUUAUUAUAAAGAGAAAUUUUAAAAAUUUUUCUAUGUGUCGAAAAAACAAAUUAUCCACUUAAAUAUCCACAUAAGUAAAUUUUAUCAAUUUUCUAUUUAUGUUAUAAUAUAAUAUUAUAUAUGAUAAUUAAGGAGUUAAUUAUGACACUUGCAACCAAUACAAAAAGAUAAUAACAAAAAUUUGAUCGUAAUAUAUUAAACAUAAAUUUAUUUUCUUUUUUAUAUCUUAAUAUAUUUAUAAUAUUUUGUAUGCAAAUUAAUAUUUUAUUAUUUUUAUAUUAAAAUAAUUAUAAAUAUGUGUAACAAAAUAUUAAUGAAAAGCAAAAUUAUUUCAAAUAAAUACAAAAAUAAUUGUAACUCUAUUCACACAUUCUAAUAUUUUAGCAUCAAUUAUUUAAUAAAUAAAUCAACUUAAUUAACACUAGGGAUGUCAAUUGAUAACGUAUGAGAUGGGUAAAGCAUUCCCUCUCCUUAUUCUUAAUUUCUUAUAUUAUAAUUAUUUUUUUACUCAUAUCUAAUGAAUAUUUUAAAUUUAUUCACAUCUUUAUUUCUAUGGGUAUUUAAUGGGUAUUACUAAUUCUUGUAUCCAUGACUUUUUAAAAAAAAUAAAAAAUAAGAUUUAUUUUUAAAAUAUUUUUAUCUUGCAUAUUUAAGUAAUUUUUUUAUAAAUAUAUAUUUUUUAAAUACAAAUAUAUUUGAUGUAAUACAUCUAAAAUAAAAUUAUAUUAUUAAAUAAAAAUUAAUUUAUUAAAUAUAGAAAAAAAUAUAUAGGAUAUGGGUAUGAAAUGAAUACUAUAUUACUUAUUAGCAUACCCAUACUCUAUAAAACAUAUAAAAUCAUCUUUAUUCUCAUUUUCAUCAUCAAAAUUUAAUAUCCAUUUUUAUCUUAAUUAAAAUAAAAAUUAAAUUCUUCAUUAAAUUUGAAUAAAAUUAACAUCCUAAUUAACAUAAAAAAUAGCGGGGAUGAAUACUAGUAUCCUUUUGAAAAAGGGUGACCUGAUGUAAAAGAUGGUGGCAACAUACUCUUGUGUAUUUGAUAUACUAAAAUCGUGGAAUUAUUUGUGCUGAAAAGUGAUCACCCAAACCGAUUAGGCCAAGUUCAAGGGCAUUUGGUGAAGUUCGAGCCUUCAUUUUUCUAUAUAUUUAUUGUAAAUAAAAAGUGCUCAAGGGCUAGCCUACAUGCUAGGCCCGCGAGAAUGACUCACUUGGACUGAAUUAUAAUUUAAGUUUGAUCUGCCCUGUUUUAAAGAUAUUAGAUUAUAUUGUAUAAAUAAUUUAUUUUGUAUAAUUUUUAUUACAAAAUAUAUUUUUAAACAUUAAUAUAAAAAAUUUCAUGUAUAAUAAUAAAUAUAAAAUAAAUGAAUGGGUCAAUUUAAAUUAAAUUAUGCUCAAACUUCUAUUUUUAAAGUAUCAAUACCAUUUCUAAUUGUGAACAAGUUAAAAUUUUUUUUCUUUAUUUUUGUAUCUAUUAAUUUUAAUAUGUUUAUAAUUAUUAUUCAUAUGUAUCCAAUUGGAUUAUUGAUUAUGGAUCCCAUAAACAUAAAUCAAAAUAACAAAAAACAUUGAAAACAAAUCAAAAUGAUAUUUGUUGUGAACCAUAUAAUUUGAUGUAGGUUAGACAUGGCAAAAAAUCUCAUCUUCCCCUCCAUUCCCCUCCAUUCCCCUCCAUUCAAUUUGAUGUGAACCAUGCAUUAAUAAUAUAAGUAGCAAUCAUAGAGGCGUGGAGGGGUCCCUCGUCCAACAGCCCAAGCCAUGUUAGUGUCACAUUCACGUAUGCGCUGACGCUAUUGAUCAGAUUACUAGCCGAGUGGUUAGAGAAAAAGACGUACAAGCAUUUCUGAAUUGGAUUCUCUCCCAACAAGACUAACCCAGACAAGUGUCACGGGAAAAGGACAAUUCAACGUAUUAAGAAGUCUUGUCAAAUAGGGCCUCCUAAAAUACCGACAAGAUAAAUUGAUGAUCAAAGGAGAAAAACUGAAACAAUUGAUUUAGCCUUUUUAAAAUAAUCAUUAUAUUUGAUAUAUUAUUAAUAUAUAAAUUUUAUAUAUUAUUAAUGAAUAAAAUAAUAUUUAUUUAUUAAUAAAAAUUUAAUAAAAAAUAAAUUUUUUUAUUUAUCUUUAAAGAUUAAUAAAAUUUUUUUUAAUUAUUAAUAAAAUGAUAUCAUUUAAUUUAUUAAUAAUAUAUAAAAUUUAUAUAUUGAUAAUAUAUCAAAUAUAAACUCUAUAUUUAUUAUGAAGAUAAUCAAACACGAUAGCUUGUUUCAUUUUCUUUUGAUGCUUGUCAUUAAAUUUUUAUUUUUGGAUAAAUUUCUUUGUUUGAAACAUUUCAAAUUAAUUAGUUAAUUUGUAGAUAAAGUUAGUAUUAAUUAUUUUAUAAAAAAGUUUUAAAACAAUCAAUUUUAAAAACUAUUAGAAAGUUAUUUUGUAAUUGUUUAAUUUUACUUUUGGUAAUUAAAAAAAAUUUUUGAUUGGUUAUAUUUAGAUUUAUUAAUCGGACUGAGUCGAGUUUAGCCCCAAGUUUAGUAUGAUAUUUUAAUAUUUUAAGUAAAUUUAAAGCCAGUUGAUUUUUUGAAUUUAGGUUUGAGUCUAAUUUAAUUUUGUUAAAUAUAAUUUAAAAUUAUAUUAUUAUUUUAUACAAAGAAUAAAUAAGUUUUAUCUUAUUAUAAGUAAUAAAGUAAAUAUGUAUUGUCCAUUAUAAAAAAAUAAAACAAAUGGGUCUUAUUUCAUUAUGAUAAAAAUAUUUUUUUUAAUUUUUGAGUUUGACAAGAUCAAACUCAAGCAUGAAAUGGUGAAACACAAGUCCAACCUCAUUUUUUUUAUUCGAUAUCAUUUGUUUAUCUAGGUCCAUUUAAUGAGCUUAAUAUUUACAUCUAAAUCUUUCAAAAAUUCAAAACAGGAUUUCAAGUUCGGAUAAACUAUCUAACCUAUGAUCAAGUCUAAUUAUAUUACAUUUGUACAUAAUGUGGGGUUACUUAUUUGUCACCCUAUCACCCUUAGUUAUUCUUAGAAAUAAUUUCAUUUUUUACCAUUAUAUUGUGCAUGAAAAAUGUAUUUGGUAUUAGAUUAUUAUAGGAUAAGAUAAAAUGAUAUAAUGAAUAGAAUUAAAUUAAAUAGUAUUAUCUUAUCUUAUAUUUGAUAUAUGUAAAAAUUAAGAUAAAAUAAUUUAUUUAUUAGUCAAAAUUAUUCUUUCUUAAAAUUUAUAUAAUUUAAAUUAUUAAUAUAAUUUUUAAGGGUAUAAUAAGACAUGUAAAUUCAAUUUCAUGAAUUAAAAUAAUUAUUUUUACUUUGAGAAUAUUAAAGUAUCUUAUACCAAAAGAAUGAUUAAUCCUUAUUGUAAUAAUAUAUCUUUCUUUAAAUAUAAAUUAAAUAUAAUAUAAAAUAAUUAUUAUCUUAUCUUAUCUAUCAUUUUAUACAUUAAAUAUGAAUAAAAAAUAUUUUAUAAUACAAAUAUAAAGAUAAUAUUUAUUAUUUUAAUAAUAAAAAAUAAUUAAAUUAGAUAAUCAAAAUGAAUUUAACUUUUUUCCUUUAUAAUUUAAUAAGCCAAUCCAACCCGUAAACUAAGUUUGGUUUAAGAUAUUUUGUAUCAUGCAAUAGCAAAAUCCAGAAUAACAAAACAAAGAGAAACUAAAUUUGUAAUGAUGUGGUGAAAAGUCGUAUGAUCUAUUACUAUCACCCCACGUGCAAAAGCCCAACGUACACGAUAGCUAUUAAUAUGUAAGCGAUGACAGCAGCCAUUUCUUGGACAAUGUCAAACUCUAUUUUUUUUUCCUUAAAUAUCUCAUACAACGGUGUUACAAGAUACCAAUCAACAUCUCCAUUCAGACAACGUGAAUAUGAUAUUGUAGCGUUAAAAUUAAUUUUAAUAAAAUUAAAAAUAAUAAUAAUGAUGAUAUUAAUUAUUAUAAUAAUAAAAUUAAAUAUGUAAUUAAAAUUAAUGAUAAAAUAUAUAUUUAAAUAAAAAUAUAGUGACAUCGAUAAAAUAAAAUAUAAUGAAAAAAUUGAUUAUUAAAAAUAUUAAAUUAAAUUUUAUAUAUAAUAAACUUUAUAAUAUAUAUUUGAAAAGUUAUUAAAUAAUUAUAAAUUAUUAAAAUUAUUUGUAUAUAUCAAAUUAAAAUUUUUACAUAAUAAAAUUUAAUGUAUAUUUGAUUUUUUUAAAGUCAAUAAAUAAUUAAAAAUUACUAACAAAAAUGAUAGCUUUAUAUAAUUUAUUUUUUAAAUAAUUUACUUCAGCACUCAAGUGAUAAAAAUAUUAAAAGCUUUUUCUAAACAUUGAUCAAAGAAAAAUAAAUAAAUAAUAAAAAAGGAAUACAAAAUAAUAUACAUAAAGAUUGGACACAAAAUAAAAUACGUGGACUAUCAUAUACUCUUUAUUAGGUUUCUUGAUUUAAGGCUUUUAAAAUUGAAUUGAAAAAUGUUAAAUUGAGUUAUAUGUAAGGGUAUUUAAGGGUUUUUGUCUUCAAUCGCAGAUUACAAAUUUUCACUGAUCUCUUUAGCUCCAAUGACGAUUGAGGGGUGUGGUGCAGUUGAAAGAUUCCAAUCGUGCAUCCAAACAUGCUUCUAUGGUGCAAAAUUAUGCUUUAUUGCACCGCAAUGGUGCGGUGAUAAAAGCGAAACCAAAUGGCCCUAAUUCUCCAAGAUGACAAUAUCUCCUACGCAAGAAGUAUCUAAGAUGACAAUAUCUCCCACGCGAGUAAACAAAAAGACAGUUGAUCUGAGUGGGAAAUUAAAAUAAGCUAUGAAAGCAACAUGAUUGUGAUGCAUAUUAAAAGUAAUCAAACUUGGAAAUUUCGGCCCAUUGAAAGAUGGGUGGGUCCAAACUUUUUAGCAAUACUCCUGUUACGCCCCUCUAUAAAAGCAAAUACAUUUUAAUUCUAUACACCACCAAAAAAAAAAAAAAUCAAAUCAAAUAAAACAAACACAGAGUUACCAGAAGCAAAUCGAACAAUGGAAGAAGCAGCAAUUCUUUACUCAUUUCUUUCUUUUAUCUUUCUUAUCAUUUGUUUAAACUUGUUCUUUCAAUCAAGAAAGCACCCCAAAAACCUCCCUCCAAGCCCACCAUCACUACCCAUAAUUGGCCACCUUCACCUCCUAAAACCCCCCAUCCAUCGUUUGUACCAUAGCCUUUCACAAAAAUAUGGUCCAAUCUUCUCCCUUCGCCUUGGUUCUCGGCUUCUUGUUGUAGUAUCAUCUUCAACCGCAGCCG